AGCGAACGCUAGCGGAUGGCUUAACACAUGCAAGUCGAGCGGGCAGCUUCGGCUGUCUAGCGGCGAACGGGUGCGUAACACGUGGGUAAUUUGCCUUCUGGUGGGGGAUAACCCGACGAAAGUCGGGCUAAUACCGCAUACGUCCUACGGGAGAAAGAGGGCCUCUGCUUGCACGCUCUCACUCCAGGAUGAGCCCACGUCCGAUUAGCUAGUUGGUAGGGUAAAGGCCUACCAAGGCCACGAUCGGUAGCUGGUCUGAGAGGAUGAUCAGCCACACUGGGACUGAGACACGGCCCAGACUCCUACGGGAGGCAGCAGUGGGGAAUAUUGGACAAUGGGCGCAAGCCUGAUCCAGCAAUGCCGCGUGUGUGAAGAAGGCCUGCGGGUUGUAAAGCACUUUCAGUGGGGAAGAACAGAUUCGGGUCAAUACCCCGGAGCCCUGACGUUACCCACAGAAGAAGCACCGGCUAACUCCGUGCCAGCAGCCGCGGUAAAGUAG
rnacentral:rRNA from 1 species